AAGACCCCAUGGAGCUUCAAACCCAACUACACCCCUAGCUCUUAUAGCCCCACAACCCCCCUAGGCGCCGUGUGCUUGGUUUUAGGUUGGGGCGACCGCGGAGUACAAUAAAACCUCCACAAUGAAUGGGAACACCCCCUUAUCUGAGGGCCACACCCCCUAAGAAUUAGAACACUAACAUAAAAUGAUCCAUUACUUGAUCAAUGAACCAAGUUACCCUGGGGAUAACAGCGCAAUCCAUUUCAAGAGCCCCUAUCGACAAAUGGGUUUACGACCUCGAUGUUGGAUCAGGGUACCCCAGUGGUGCAGCAGCUACUAACGGUUCGUUUGUUCAACGAUUAAAACCCU
rnacentral:rRNA from 1 species